rnacentral:rRNA from 1 species
CAAUAGCGUAUAUUAAAGUUGUUGCAGUUAAAAAGCUCGUAGUUGGAUUUGUGGCGUACGGUGUGUUCCGGGCACUUGUUGUCUGAGUAACCUGCUGUUGCCAUCCUUGGGUGGAACCUGUGUGGCAUUAGGUUGUCGUGCAGGGGAUGCCCAUCGUUUACUGUGAAAAAAUUAGAGUGUUCAAAGCAGGCUUAUGCCGUUGAAUAUAUUAGCAUGGAAUAAUGAGAUAGGACUUUUUCGCUAUUUUGUUGGUUUGCGCGAAGAGGUAAUGAUUAAUAGGGACAGUUGGGGGUAUUCGUAUUCCAUUGUCAGAGGUGAAAUUCUUGGAUUUUUGGAAGACGAACUACUGCGAAAGCAUUUACCAAGGAUGUUUUCAUUAA